AUGCACGCUGGCGGCGUGCCUAAUACAUGCAAGUCGAGCGAACAGAUGAGGAGCUUGCUCCUCUGACGUUAGCGGCGGACGGGUGAGUAACACGUGGAUAACCUACCUAUAAGACUGGGAUAACUUCGGGAAACCGGAGCUAAUACCGGAUAAUAUAUUGAACCGCAUGGUUCAAUAGUGAAAGACGGUUUUGCUGUCACUUAUAGAUGGAUCCGCGCCGCAUUAGCUAGUUGGUAAGGUAACGGCUUACCAAGGCAACGAUGCGUAGCCGACCUGAGAGGGUGAUCGGCCACACUGGAACUGAGACACGGUCCAGACUCCUACGGGAGGCAGCAGUAGGGAAUCUUCCGCAAUGGGCGAAAGCCUGACGGAGCAACGCCGCGUGAGUGAUGAAGGUCUUCGGAUCGUAAAACUCUGUUAUUAGGGAAGAACAAAUGUGUAAGUAACUAUGCACGUCUUGACGGUACCUAAUCAGAAAGCCACGGCUAACUACGU
rnacentral:rRNA from 1 species